rnacentral:rRNA from 1 species
GACGAACGCUGGCGGCGUGCUUAACACAUGCAAGUCGAACGGAAAGGCCCUGCUUUUGUGUGGUGCUCGAGUGGCGAACGGGUGAGUAACACGUGAGUAACCUGCCCUUGACUUUGGGAUAACUUCAGGAAACUGGGGCUAAUACCGGAUAGGAGCUCCUGCUGCAUGGUGGGGGUUGGAAAGUUUCGUCGGUUGGGGAUGGACUCGCGGCUUAUCAGCUUGUUGGUGGGGUAGUGGCUUACCAAGGCUUUGACGGGUAGCCGGCCUGAGAGGGUGACCGGCCACAUUGGGACUGAGAUACGGCCCAGACUCCUACGGGAGGCAGCAGUGGGGAAUAUUGCACAAUGGGCGGAAGCCUGAUGCAGCAACGCCGCGUGCGGGAUGACGGCCUUCGGGUUGUAAACCGCUUUCGCCUGUGACGAAGCGUGAGUGACGGUAAUGGGUAAAGAAGCACCGGCUAACUACGUG